rnacentral:rRNA from 1 species
AUACGGAGGAUGCAAGCGUUAUCCGGAUUUAUUGGGUUUAAAGGGUGCGUAGGCGGUUUGCUAAGCGGGAGGUGAAAUGCCGGCGCUCAACGUCGGAAGUGCCUCCCGAACUGGUGGACUUGAAUGACUCUGCCGUGGGAGGAAUGUGUAGUGUAGCGGUGAAAUGCUUAGAGAUUACACAGAACACCGAUUGCGAAGGCAUCUCACGAAGGGUUGAUUGACGCUGAGGCACGAAAGCGUGGGGAUCAAACAGGAUUAGAUACCCUGGUAGUCCACGCAGUAAACGAUGAUGGCUAACCGCUGGGCUUAUCAGUUCAGUGGCCAAGCGAAAGCGAUAAGCCAUCCGCCUGGGGAGUACGACCGCAAGGUUGAAACUCAAAUGAAUUGACGGGG